GACGAACGCUGGCGGCGUGCUUAACACAUGCAAGUCGAACGGAAAGGCCCUGCUUGCAGGGUACUCGAGUGGCGAACGGGUGAGUAACACGUGGGUGAUCUGCCCUGCACUUCGGGAUAAGCCUGGGAAACUGGGUCUAAUACCGGAUAGGAGGCAUUUUGAGGGUGAUGGUUGGAAAGUUUUUUCGGUGUAGGAUGAGCUCGCGGCCUAUCAGCUUGUUGGUGGGGUAAUGGCCUACCAAGGCGGCGAGGGGUAGCCGGCCUGAGAGGGUGGACGGACACAUUGGGGCAGAGGGAAGCGCAGGACUCCUAAGGGGGGCAGAACUGGGGAAAAUUGCACAAUGGGCACCAGCCUGAUGCAGAGACGCCGCGUGGGGGAUGACGGCCUUCGGGUUGUAAGCUCCUUUCGCUAGGGACGAAGCUUUUUGUGACGGUACCUAGAUAAGAAGCACCGGCUAACUACGUG
rnacentral:rRNA from 1 species